rnacentral:misc_RNA from 1 species
GAUGAAGAACGUAGCGAAAUGCGAUACUUGGUGUGAAUUGCAGAAUCCCGUGAACCAUCGAGUCUUUGAACGCAAGUUGCGCCCGAAGCCAUUAGGCCGAGGGCACGCCUGCCUGGGCGUCACACGUCGUUGCCCCCCCAACUACUCCUUCGGGAUUGCGGGGGGCGGAUGAUGGCCUCCCGUGCGCCUCGUCGCGCGGUUGGCAUAAAUGCCAAGUCCUCGGCGACGCACGCCACGACAAUCGGUGGUUGCGAAACCUCGGUUGCCCGUCGUGUGCGGUCGUCGCGCAUCGAGGGCUCGAAAAAAUUGCCGGGCUCCGGCUCGGCUUUCAACGCGACCCCAGGUCAGGCGGGGUUACCCGCUGAAUUUAAGCAUAUCAAUAAGCGGAGGA